AAGUCAGGGGAGAUCUCGCGAGACAAAAAAAAAAGCGCUGUUGUGGGGCUAGUGGCGGUAUAAAGUAUUGAGAGAGAGAGAGAGCGAGAGAGAGAGAGAGAUUAUAAAGCAGGGCAGGAAAAAAACUCGGGGGGGAAUGAAGAUAUGGCGGACGCCAAGCAGAAGCGGAACGAGCAGUUGAAGCGAUGGCUAGGCUCGGAGACGGAUCUGGAGCCGCCGGUUCUGAAGAAGAAGAAGACGAAGGUGAAGUUCGACGAGGGCGCCGUGUUCCUGGCCGCCUGCUCCAGCGGAGACACCGAGGAGGUGCUGCGGCUGCUGGAGCGCGGAGCCGACAUCAACUACGCUAAUGUGGACGGGCUAACCGCUCUGCACCAGGCGUGUAUAGAUGAUAACGUGGACAUGGUGACGUUCCUGGUGGAACACGGCGCCUGCAUCAAUCAGCCGGAUAACGAGGGAUGGAUCCCACUGCACGCUGCCGCUUCCUGUGGAUACAUGGACAUCGCGGAGUAUUUGAUCAGUCAGGGUGCGAAUGUGGGCGUGGUCAAUAGUGAGGGAGAGACACCGCUGGACAUCGCAGAGGAAGAAGCCAUGGAGGAGCUGCUGAAGAACGAAAUCAAUCGACAAGGUGUGGAUAUAGAGGCGGCGAGGAAGGAGGAGGAGCGUAUCAUGCUGCGUGACGCACGUCAGUGGCUAAACAGCGGGCAAAUAAACGACGUCCGGCACGCCAAGUCAGGAGGAACCGCGCUGCACGUCGCUGCUGCUAAAGGCUACACAGAGGUUUUAAAGCUUUUAAUCCAGGCAGGUUAUGAUGUAAAUAUUAAAGAUUAUGACGGCUGGACUCCUCUUCAUGCUGCUGCUCACUGGGGGAAGGAUGAAGCCUGCAGGAUCCUGGUGGAGAACCUGUGCGACAUGGACGUCGUUAAUAAAGUGGGUCAGACGGCGUUCGACGUGGCUGAUGAAGAUGUUUUGGGAUAUUUAGAAGAAUUACAAAAGAAACAGAAUCUGCUGAUGAGUGAAAAGAAAGACGCUAAGAAAUCUCCUUUGAUAGAGACCACCACUACAGCGGAUAAUAACCAGUCCACUAAACCGGCCGUGAAGAGUAAGGAGACGCUGUUACUAGAGGUGGAGAAGAACGCUCCUCACAUCGAGAACCUGGAGUCGGAGAAAGCUGAUGAGGAAGAGGAGGGGAAGAAGGACGAGUCCAGCUGCUCCAGUGAGGAAGAGGAGGAAGACGACUCAGAGUCUGAGAAUGAAGCAGAUAAGACCAAAUCAGCCGCUCCGGUCAGCAACUCCACCAGCGCUGUCCCCGCCCCCACCAUCCCAGUCUCCGCCUCCAGCAACACUCCAGCCACGCCCACCUCACCUGUCAAAAAGGUGAGUGUACCUGCAGGUAAAGUGUCUCCUAAAGAGGAGGAGAGGAAGGACGAGUCGCCGGCGUCAUGGAGACUGGGCCUGAGGAAGACAGGAAGUUACGGAGCGCUGGCGGAGAUCAGCGCCACCAAAGAGGCUCAGAAGGAGAAAGACCUGAGCGGGGUGAUGCGCUCGGCCUCCUCGCCUCGCCUCACCACCUCACUGGAUAACAAGGACAAGGAGAAGGAGAAGGAGAAGUCUCUGGCGUAUGUGGCUCCCACUUUCCCAAGAAGACACCCGAGUGCAUCAGACAUCGACGAGAAAGAAAACAGGGACUCGGCGGCUAGUCUGGUGCGCAGCGGCUCUUACACACGGAGACGCUGGGAAGAAGAUCUGAAGAACAACGACACAACCUCCUUGAACCGAACGUCCAGCUACCAGCGCAGCACGUCACACACUUUAACACUUGGCCGAAGCAGCAGCUCUCGCGAUCUUCCUGCAAAAUCAUCUUCGGCUUCCAGUCUGGAUCCUAACAGCACUAAAGCCUCAUCAUCCUACUACCAGUCUUACAGCAUACACCGCAGCGGAUCGUUUGGAAGGAGGCAAGACGACGCUGUGAGCUCCACUUCCUCCACUGUUACCACGACGACAAGCUCCACCUCCACUACCACUAUUACCUCACCUACAGGACACCGCAGUGUGUCCAGGUAUUGGUCCGAGGAUGGUGCUGAGAAAGAGAAGGAGUCGGCGACUGUAAUCCCCACCAUUAACACUGCAGCCACCACCACCACCACCACCACACACACUACUGCAGGAGACGGCAGAGAGAGACGCAGAUCAUACCUCACUCCUGUGCGUGAUGAGGAGUCAGAGUCUCAGAGGAAAGCUCGAUCUCGACAGGCUCGACAGUCCAGAAGGUCCACACAGGGUGUGACCUUAACUGACCUCCAGGAGGCGGAGAAGACCAUCGGACGCAAUCGUCCGACUCGGUCCCGAGAGGAGGAGAAGGAAAAAGAAGAGAAGGAAAAACAAGACAAGGAGAAGCAGGAGGAGAAGAAGGAGGCGGAGACGAAGGAGGACGACUAUCGAUCACGCUAUCGCUUCGAGGAGCGUUACCGCACUCCCUCCUUGAGCUCAUCCACUUCCAUUACUGUGCCGUCGUCCACCGUCACUUCUUCAUCCCUCUACACUUCCUCCUCCUCUUCCUCGCUGAACCGCCCUGACAGUCUGAGUGGAAUCACGCCCAGCUACAGGAGCUCCGCCCGCGACGCUGAGAAAGAUAAGAAAGAAGAGGAGAAGGAGGGAGAGGAUAAAACUCAGCCUCGCUCUAUACGUGAUCGCAGACGCCCUCGAGAGAAACGACGCUCUACCGGAGUCCCAUUCUGGACCCAAGAUAGCGAUGAGAAUGACCCAGAGCAGCACUCGGACUCAGAGGAAGGAAGCACUAAAGCAGAACCUCAGAGUGAAAGACUCUCGAGAAACGACGGCGUGCCCUCCGGUUCGUCGCUCACUGAUCGUUACGAUCACAGAGAGAGCCGCCGGCCAUAUUCACGCCUCGACCGAGACGACAACACUGACUACAAGAAGCUUUAUGAACAGGUCCAAGCUGAAAAUGAGAAGCUGAAGUCUCAGUUACGCGACACACAUCUGGAGCUGGAUGAUCUCAAGCGGCAGCUGGAGAAGGCCACACAGGUGAGGGGAUUACAGAGACAGGAGCGCUUCGCUGAUAGAUCACAGCUGGAGAUGGAGAAAAGGGAAAGACGAGCUCUAGAAAGAAAGAUCUCUGAGAUGGAGGAGGAACUUAAGAACCUCCCGGAGAUAAAGCAGGUUCAGGCUCUGAGGCAGUAUAAUGAGCGAUUGCAGGCGGAGAACAGAGCUUUGGCCCGCGUUCUCUACAAACUGCCCGCUGCUGAUCUAUAAGCCCCGCCCACUCCAUUUACAUGUCCCAUUUCUGGCUCCGCCCUCUCCUGUAGACAGGCAGACGCUACCCGACUUGAAGGCAGACAACCAGAGGCUAAAGGACGAGAACGGCGCUCUGAUCCGAGUCAUUAGUAAACUUUCUAAGUAGAGCAGCGCCCCGUGUGGUGAGCGUGGGGUAUUACACGCUGAGAACCCCGUUACAGCAACCACGCAACAAAACACAUCCAACCUCCUCUCUCUCUCUCUCUCUCUGUCUAUCACUCUCUCUGUCUAUCACUCGCUCACUCACUCUACUCGUCCCCUAACGGCUCACUUCCUUCCUCCAUGUUUGGUCUGGCUGCUGCAGUACACGCACACACACGCGCGCGCACACACACACACACACACACACACACACGUCGAGUUUACAGGGCAGAGAGACAGCUUUAACCCACACGCCUACGUUUGUACAGAAAAAAAAGGAAAUAAAGAAAAACAGUUUAUUGGUGCCACAAACUUUCCUUUAUUUUCUUCCUCUUUCCGGCGUAGUGAGUGUAUCUCUCUCGCCCCCCCCCCCUCCCCCCCCCCCUUCUUUUAUCCUCCCUUUCAUGUAGAAGCUCCGCCUCCUUUUUCUCCCUCUGUGGUACUGUUUCUCAGCAGCGGAUUUCCCAGCAUUCAACAGUGUUGGGGCUCAAAACCUGAACCUGAACUCCUGCCAACCCCCCUCCUCCUCCACACACACACACACACACACACACACACACACACACACACACUCCUCUGUGUGAGUUCUGGUGGAAUGUUGAGCUUUCACUGAAUGUGCAAUACGCCUCUGUUCCUUUAUAAACAGCGCUUUAACCGGCAGUAGGAAGAAAAGUUCACUUCUCUUUCUUUCACUCCCUUCUUUCACUCCCUUCUUUCACUCCCUUCUUUCACUCCUUCCUUUGUUCCUUUUGAUUCGGAGCUUGUCCCUCCCUUUUUUUUUCAUUCUGCCUCUUUCUUCUCACUUCUCCCCUCUUACUCUUUCACUUUUUUCUUUUUUUUUUUCCUCUCCCUACAUUUUUUAACUCCCUAGGUUAUUUUUUUGUUCAUUGUUUUUCUCCUCCUUCCUUCCUUCCUCCUUGUUACAUCCCUCCUUCCUCCUCUUUUACUCCCUUUUCCCUGUCACACUUACUUUUUCCUCCUCCCUACUUUACUUUUAUUCCUCCUUACUUCCUUUUCCUAUUUUCUACUUCCUGUUCCCCCUCCCUACUUCAUGUUUCCCCAUUCUUACUUCUUCUAACUUCUACUUUCCCUAGAUCCUCUUCCUCCUCUCUCCUUCCUCAUCCUCCUCUCUCCUUCCUCCUUCCCCUCCCUAGAUCCUCUUCCUCCUCUCUCCUUCCUCUUUCCCCUCCCUAGAUCCUCUUCCUCCUCUCUCCUUCCUCUUCCUUCUCUCUCCUUCCUCUUCCUCCUCUCUCCUUCCUCUUUCCCCUCCCUAGAUCCUCUUCCUCCUCUCUCCUUCCUCUUCCUCCUCUCUCCUUCCUCCUUCCCCUCCCUAGAUCCUCUUCCUCCUCUCUCCUUCCUCUUUCCCCUCCCUAGAUCCUCUUCCUUCUCUCUCCUUCCUCUUCCUCCUCUCUCCUUCCUCUUUCCCCUCCCUAGAUCCUCUUCCUCCUCUCUCCUUCCUCUUUCCCCUCCCUAGAUCCUCUUCCUCCUCUCUCCUUCCUCUUUCCCCUCCCUAGAUCCUCUUCCUCCUCUCUCCUUCCUCUUCCUCCUCUCUCCUUCCUCCUUCCCCUCCCUAGAUUCUCUUCCUCCUCUCUCCUUCCUCUUCCUCCUCUCUCCUUCCUCCUUCCCCUCCCUAGAUCCUCUUCCUCCUCUCUCCUUCCUCUUUCCCCUCCCUAGAUCCUCUUCCUUCUCUCUCCUUCCUCUUCCUCCUCUCUCCUUCCUCUUUCCCCUCCCUAGAUCCUCUUCCUCCUCUCUCCUUCCUCUUUCCCCUCCCUAGAUCCUCUUCCUCCUCUCUCCUUCCUCUUUCCCCUCCCUAGAUCCUCUUCCUCCUCUCUCCUUCCUCUUCCUCCUCUCUCCUUCCUCCUUCCCCUCCCUAGAUUCUCUUCCUCCUCUCUCCUUCCUCCUUCCCCUCCCUAGAUUCUCUUCCUCCUCUCUCCUUCCUCUUUCCCCUUCCUAGAUCCUCCACUUCCUCUCUAUUUUUUCUACUUCCCUUCAUCCUAGAGCCUCUUCCUCCUCUCUACUUCCUGUUUCUCCUCCCUGCGAUCCCCCCCACACCACCAGGCCGUCAGUAGUGUGUGUAGUGUUUAGGCGGCGGUGUUUAAUUAAUCCUCACGGUGUUUUUAGCAGGUACUGAGUGAAGCUGUAUAUAUACCUGUACGUAUCGUAUUUGAGACGAGCACAUGGCAUGCGUUGAUGCUUUUCUCCGUCUGUUACUGUUCAAAUAUCGCGGCUCCAGCGGACAAAAGUGUGUUUUAAAUAUUUUGUUGUUUUUGUUUUGUUUUUCUUUUGUUUUUUUAUAGUGCUGUUGAAUAACGGUAGUGCCGCCGCCCCUCGUAUCGUAUAGGGGGAGGGGCUCCAGUGCAUCUUUUCAGUUUUAAAGAGAAAUAAAUAUUCACCGUAAUUGUGACAUAAGAAUAAUAUAAUACGACUUCACUACUUUUCACACGCGUUGAGUGCUCUUCCUUAUUUUAUUUUAUUUUCCUCUUCCUCUUCCUCCUCCUCAGUGCUGUUAGUAUUAGCCGAGGUGUCGUCACUAAAAAUUAAAGCCUAGAUAUCGCUAACCCCAGUCCUUUCUUUCUUCUUCUUUUUUAUUUUAAAUAAAAAACCAUCAUCUACAUGCACUGUCCACGCCAUGGCCGGAGUCUCGUGUCCAUCUUUUUUAUCGAGAGUCAGCGAAUCAGAGAUUUUAUGCAUUUCAGUGGCCUUUUAAAUGAAAAUGCUGUAGUUUAAAGAGAAGAGUGGGGAAAACACUCUGUUGGACUCUCCUCUUUGGUUUAGGUUUUAAAUUUUUUUGUUGGUUUUUAUGUUUAUUUUUCCUCCUUUUUUUUUUUAAUAUCCCAUCAUCAUUGUAAAAUAGAUGUGUGGCUUCCUACAUGCGAGCUGUGCUGUGACUACCAACCACUGAGAGUUCAAAUAAAGUUGUACAUUGUAAAAACUCCU